rnacentral:rRNA from 1 species
AUAUUGCACAAUGGGGGAAACCCUGAUGCAGCAACGCCGCGUGAAGGAAGACGGUUUUCGGAUUGUAAACUUCUAUUAAUAGGGAAGAAAGAAAUGACGGUACCUAAAUAAGAAGCCCCGGCUAACUACGUGCCAGCAGCCGCGGUAAUACGUAGGGGGCAAGCGUUAUCCGGAAUUACUGGGUGUAAAGGGAGAGUAGGCGGCAUGGUAAGCAAUAUGUGAAAGCCUCGGGCUUAACCUGAGGAUUGCAUAAUGAACUAUCAAGCUAGAGUACAGGAGAGGAAAGCGGAAUUCCUAGUGUAGCGGUGAAAUGCGUAGAUAUUAGGAAGAACACCAGUGGCGAAGGCGGCUUUCUGGACUGAAACUGACGCUGAGGCUCGAAAGCGUGGGGAGCGAACAG